GGUCUGAUCGUAUAACGGUUAGUACACAAGAUUCUGAUCCAGUGCCGACAGCUCCUCCUCGAGCUCGUCGAUCCACUCGAAUCGUUCUUGUAAUCUGGGUUCGAUUCCCAGUCGGACCU